rnacentral:rRNA from 1 species
UACAGAGGGUGCUAGCGUUGUUCGGAAUCAUUGGGCGUAAAGGGCGUGUAGGCGGUUUGUUAAGUCAUGUGUGAAAUCCCUCGGCUCAACCGGGGAACGACGCAUGAAACUGGCAAGCUAGAGUACCAAAGAGGGGGGUGGAAUUCCCGGUGUAGCGGUGAAAUGCGUAGAUAUCGAGAGGAACACCGGUGGCGAAGGCGGCCAACUGGACGAACACUGACGCUGAGACACGAAAGCGUGGGGAGCAAACAGG